rnacentral:rRNA from 1 species
UACGAAGGGGGCUAGCGUUGUUCGGAAUCACUGGGCGUAAAGGGCGUGUAGGCGGGACGGUAAGUCGGGCGUGAAAUCCCUAGGCUCAACCUAGGAACUGCACUCGAAACUACCAUUCUUGAGUGUCGGAGAGGAAAGCGGAAUUCCUGGUGUAGAGGUGAAAUUCGUAGAUAUCAGGAGGAACACCAGUGGCGAAGGCGGCUUUCUGGACGAUAACUGACGCUGAGACGCGAAAGCGUGGGUAGCAAACGGG